CCCUUAGAUGUUCUGGGCCGCACGCGCGCUACACUGACGAAUGCAACGAGCUUAUAACCUUGGCCGAAAGGUCUGGGUAAUCUCCAAAUUUCGUCGUGAUGGGGAUAGAUUAUUGCAAUUAUUAAUCUUCAACGAGGAAUGCCUAGUAAGCGCAAGUCAUCAGCUUGCGUUGAUUACGUCCCUGCCCUUUGUACACACCGCCCGUCGCUCCUACCGAUUGAAUGGUCCGGUGAAGCGUUCGGACCGUGGCCUUUGGACGGUUCGCCGUCUGUUGGCUGCGGGAAGUUCGUUAAACCUUAUCAUUUCCAGGAAGGAGAAGUCGUAACA
rnacentral:rRNA from 1 species